rnacentral:snoRNA from 1 species
UUGCUAUGAUGAUAGUCACUUGGUUUCGCUGUCUUCUGAUGUUGAAUGAGGAUACUUUUCUCUUGGCUGUCUGAGCAG